rnacentral:rRNA from 1 species
GUAGGGAAUAUUGGGCAAUGGUCGGAAGACUGACCCAGCCAUGCCGCGUGCAGGAAGACGGCCCUCUGGGUUGUAAACUGCUUUUAUCUGGGAAGAAAAAGGCCAUGCGUGGCAAAUUGCCGGUACCAGAUGAAUAAGCACCGGCUAACUCCGUGCCAGCAGCCGCGGUAAUACGGAGGGUGCGAGCGUUGUCCGGAUUUAUUGGGUUUAAAGGGUGCGUAGGCGGCUGAUUAAGUCAGCGGUGAAAGACUUCGGCUUAACCGGAGGAGUGCCGUUGAUACUGGUUGGCUUGAGUGUCGGAGGGGUACAUGGAAUUGAUGGUGUAGCGGUGAAAUGCAUAGAUACCAUCAGGAACACCGAUAGCGAAGGCAUUGUACUGGCCGACAACUGACGCUGAUGCACGAAAGUGUGGGGAUCGAACAGGAUUAGAAACCCUGGUAGUCC